rnacentral:lncRNA from 1 species
GCUUUUGGUCUGAAACAUUAUUUAAAGCAAGAUAUGGCUGCUUGUCUAUUAUCAGUAAGUACCACUGCUAAAACCUGUCUCAAAAAAUGGCAGUGCGUGAAUAAGCCUGUGUUAUGUAUUACAUGAAGCAUGUCAGGCACUUUAAAAACACAUGUUGCUGGUGAUCUGUUUUAUUCGUGUAAACCGUUGAAUUCUUUAACUGCACAACCCACAUAAUCAUCUUGGUUUGCGAUCUAGCCUGCAGAUAGCACAAGCUAUUUUUGUGAUGUGGUUGUCCUUGGCUUCCACCCUCCUUUAAAUAUUGCUGUGUGGUGGUAUGUUUUGUGUUGUGUGUGUGUGGGAUUUUUUUUUUUUUCAGUCUGUAAAAAAUAAUCAGAUUACACUUAACUGUUACUAAAAACUUUCUUCUUAAAGAAGGCAUCUUAAUUAAACAAUUACUAGCCUUACCUCCCCACACCUCAAUAAACUACAGUCUGUUCUGCAUUUGUCAUCCAAAAGAGAAAUUUAAAAAAAAUACCUAAUCUUUCAUUAUAAUCUCAUUUAGAAACGUUUUACACAAAAUAAAUCUUGUCUUUAUACACUUGGCACUUGCUGUUCCUGUUGCAGCUACUUGUUUGUUAGUUCACCUAUUGUACAGCGCUGCAGAAUUUGUAAUAUCCCUUAUUAAUCUGCAGUUUAGCUCAAAAGCAUUGUUUUAUGUAUGAAUGGUUUCUACAAGGUUUAGCUACUAAAUUUGUAAUUUUAGUGAAUUCAACUCUGAAUGACAAAAUUUAGGAGAAAAUGGCCAUGCUGCAACCUUGGUUAGUAAGAGAACGUUUCCACAGUAGGAUAUUUACAUUUUAUAAGGCUACUUAAUCGCCUGUUUUUGCAAAAAAGGGGAUUCAGUUCUGCCAUAUCACGUUAAGCCCACCACUAAUUUUAACGUGAGUUUAACAUGCUAAUUGCAUACAUUUGAGCAGAAUCUCUGUCAUUGUCUGGGGACUGUGCAGAAUUCACAAAGACUGUGACAUUGUGAUGGAUAGAAAUUAAUGUGUGUAAAAAGUCUAUUUACUAUGUGUACCUGGGUUCAUUUAUUGCUCAGUUUUAUUUUCCUGAAACUGUCCCUCGUGGAUGCAGCCAUCUUCUCUUAGAUAGGUUUCUUCUGCUCCUGGUGCUUGUGCCAGGGACCGACGUCACUGCUGGGGACAUGGCAAACUCAUGAAUAAGAAAAAAAGAGCUAUUUCCAGGGCACCGUUGCCUAAAAUGAAGUGGCAUAAAACCUUUUUUUCUUAUUGAUUUGUUUGCGGUGUCCCCGUUUAUUAUUUAUUUUUGGAAGUUUAACUGAAUCAACGGACUAUGGAUAUUUUUCAUUAGUAACUGGAAUCCGUGUUAGCAGGUGUAUCCACUAUUGUGCUGCAUUUAUAGUAGAUCUAAACCAAGUGGAAAGAAAUGCAUUAAAAUGUGUGCAUGUCUUCAUUGAGUAGAUCUACUAAACAGAGCUUUAAAAAAAAGAUUAGGCAGUGGAGUAUCGCUUUAAAGGAACAUUAUAGUUUCAGGAAUACAAAUGUGUAUUCCUGACACAUUUGAAAACACUAUUUAGGUGACAGACCCCCCUUGUGCCCCUCCACCCUCCUUGAAAAUGGUAUGUUACUUGCCUCUAACGCAGCACCAGUUUCCUUGUGGUUGGCCCCGCCCUUCCUCCAACUCAUUGACUGAUAUAUCAGCCAAUCCAUUGCUUUCCCGUAGGAAAGCAUUGGGAGACUAUUGCAUUUUUGCAGAAAAAUGCUGCACUGCACCAAUCAGCAUCUCUUCACAGAGAUGCAUUAAAUCAAUACAUGUCUGAGGAACGUUCAGGGCCUCCAUGCAGAACGUGUAGGCGCUGAAUGUUAAUGCUGCACACUGUGCACCACUAACCCAGGAAGUACCUCUAGUGGCCUUCUUGAGUUACUGCCUCGAGGUGUUCUUAGGCAGCAAUGUAAACACUAUCUUUUCUCUGAACAUACUACAUUAAGCUGUAGUUCUGGUGACUAUAGUGUCCUUUUAAAGACUUUUAACAAUUUCAGAGCACUAAACAAUCUCUAGAGCUUUACAGAAACACUUCACAUACCUUAACCACUAUUACAAUCAAACUUGUUGGCGGUCUUACAGGUGCUGCUCCCUGCUUCCACUAUUUCUAUGAAGCACCAGAAGCUCCUAAGCAGGAGUUUUAAUGAGCUCUCUAUCUGAGCAAAGCCCUGCAACUCCCUGGCUGACACAGUUGGCUAUUCACUCUCCUUGCAUUGCUUGGCCUAGAAAGAGUGCUUCAGGAAGCAGUGCAGGACCCCAGAUAUAGUUACACCAUUUUAAAAUGGCUUGCCUUCUUACGACAGGGGAUGGAGUGUGACCAUCAGGGCAUUCCUGGUACCAAAACCACUAUUGCAGGGUGCAGUGGUUAUAGUGCUUGGAGUGUUCUUCUAAAGAAUGAGUCUGGUUUGUGCUUUGUUUUUUUUGUUUUUUUUAAAUUCUUUAUUUUUCAGUGCAAAACAGUCAUUACAGCAUUCGUUAAAAGGAGCUUAUAUGAUUUGUGUGUUAGCCAGAUCGUAGCACAUUCUGCACUAUUUUAUUUUUGUAACAUGUUUGUGUAGGCCUUGAUCGCUAUCGUGUCAUCCCUCUAUUCUGAGGUGGUUGAGUGUGGUGUGUUCUAGCUGAUAUAUGGGUGAGAGUCAGUGUGCUGUGGUUGCUCGUAGAGGGUCCUAUGGCUUGUUCGUUCAGCCUGUGGGGUGGUAUGUAGCCUCUUCAGUACAAGGCAUACAGGCUGUGUUGUGAGGUAUGCCUUGUUUCAUUUGUAGUGGCUCCUGACCAUGGGAGCUGCCGGGGGGUGGUGGAUGCGUGAGUUGUUUGGCGGUUGCCUCGUGUGUGAGUGUGGAGGGAUGCUGUUGUUCCCCGUUAUGGGGGGUAGAGCAUUGGUCGUGUCCCCAAUCUUAGGUGUGAUUACCUGUGUGACUGUAGAUGUGGUCCCUAAACAGUUGCACGGUCCCUGGUAAAGGGAAUGGGGGGGAGAAACUGGGAGAACAUUGGGGUAUAUAUAAUGUCCUGAGCAGAUAGUCCCAUGGUGAGCGUAGAGAGCGGCUGGUGUGGCUGGCUGGUCUUCAGUCGGGCUGUUGUCUUAGUUUGGGUCUUAGCUGGUGCUGCAGUCCUCUUUCCCCCUUCUUGGGAUGAAGGUUGUUGCAUGCGCCGGGUCCCAGGUUGACGUUGAGGUAAAGGCACUCUGUAGUGCGGUGUCCGGUAGCUGUGCCAGUCCCAGGGCCGUCAGGAAUGGUGCAGUGUAUCUUCCAUAGAGCGUGUGUACGCCAUCGUUCCUGGAUACCAUCAGGGGUCCGUUUGCUCCCCAUCUAUAGCUUAUUUUAGCUGAUUGAAGCUGGCUGGUUACGGUUGGAACGUUUUUCGCCACAGGAGGGUGGUUUUACUGAGAUCUUGGUAUUCAUCCUUGAAUUGCAGGGGAGUGUUGCCCUUAAGUGCUGACAUUAUGAGUAUUUUAUCGUGUGUUGUGGAGCACCUUAAUAUCACAUCUCUUGGUGCCGUUGUCGUCGUCCCCUUGGGCCCUGGUAGGCGGUAGAUUUCUUCCAGAUUAAUUUUUUUGGCUACCGUGGGGGACAGGAGGGUGGUUAGCAACCGUCUGGCAUAAUGGGGAGCUCGUCCGCUGCAACUGCAGUUGGGACGCCCCUUAUCUUCACAUUAGAACGGCGGUGGCGAUCCUCCAUUGCUGUGAUGUGUGAGGUGACAGCUCUUUGGUGAGCCCAUAUUUGUUGGACUGAGGUCUGGAGGUCUUGUACCUGUGUCUGGACGUCUGCUAUGCCCCUCUCCGAGGCCUGUACUCGGUCUGUGAUGGCCUUAAUGUUAUUUUUAAUAGGAGCUAAUUCAGUUGCAAGUAUUUUAUGAAAGUCCAUCAAUAGUACUUUCAGGUCUUGUCUGGUCGUUGGUGUGGCGUCAGUGGGAGCAUCUGAUGGCUGCAGGUGAGUGUCCGCCGGCCCCUCUGCCCUUGCUUGCUCAUUUGGGUUUGAGGGAGCUUCAGGCCUUGUACCAGUGACCUGCCGCGCGGGCUCUGCGGGUGUGGGUUGGGGCUGCAUGGGCCUCUGGAACAUCGUUCCGAUGUCUCUGUGCUCCACAGCCGCCGUCUUUUGCGAGUGGCGACCCAUCGCUGGCGUGUGGGGUGAGGCCUCUUGUGGUGCUUGGGGAGGGCUCCUGUCAUUCGCCUGUUGCCGGAGGAGUGCUUCCAGGCUUGGCAGGGACAAUGUGGGGUAGGCCCCGGUUUUCCGUUUUCGUCCGGGCUGGGCCUUUGGUUGAAAAAAGGCAUCUAUCGCCUCGGGUGGUAUUGGGGGACGUGACUGUCGGGUUUUGGGGUCCGUCUGGGCUUUAGUUUUGGGGGUUUUGCGCUGUAAUUUGGAGGAGCUUGCAUGCGUGGCGUCUGUUCAGGCUGGUGGUUGAGCUCCGCUCCCCUUGUGCUUUGUUUUAUUUAUCUCUAUAAAAGAAGUCUCAUUAGUUUCCAUUCCUUGUUUGUAUCAGGGCAGCCAAAAAGAGUAGGUGGACGGACAUACAAUGAAAAAAUAAGUUGCUAAUCUUCACAAUCUAAGCUUAUUCAGCCGUGCUUUGAUUACCUGACAUUUUCUUGUCCUAAUAAGUGUUUGACAUUGUAACUUUUACUUAUGACUCGACAGAUGCAGUUUAGCAUUUUAUUUGGAGAGCUUUGCCCAUGCACAAUGUCACUAUGUACAUAGUCUUCUCUAUAUAAUUACAUUCUGUUAAUCUUACAUAGUUGUCUAUGUCUAGGUUGGAAAAAAUAAAAAAAGGUCCAUAAAGUUCAACUGUAAAGUCCAUUAUCUUAUACUGUUGAUCCAAAAGGCGGCACCCACCAUCUCCCCCCAUCCCCCAUUGUAGUCAUAUCCAAUAUUGCCACAAUAAGAAGAGUGGAAGAUGGAAUAUUUCUUGAUACCAUAUUGCCAAUCCGAUUUCACGUGGAUAAACAACCAGUUUACAUCCAUAUCUGUUACGUCCUAGAAUAUGGUUUAUGCAAAAAAUCCAAACCUUAGUAAAUGUAUCUCUGGAAUCUUAUAAUAAAAACUCUUUAGGCAGAGAAUGACACAUCUUUAUUGUUCUUGCUGUAAGUGAAAACGCCUUUCUUCGUUUCAAAGGGUGACCUCUUGUCUGUUCAAUAUUCCGGCUAUUGAACAGGUUUGCACAUAGUGGUUUGUACUGACCCUGUAUAUAUUUAUAUAGAACUAUAUUUAAUUUAUUUUUUUUAAAGAAAAUAUUCCAGUUUUUCAAGCCUUUCCGAUAUUUUAUUACCUAGUUAUGUUAGUUGCAAACACAGAGAAAUGACUUUCAAAGCCCACUUCAAGAUGAUGUAUACAUAGAUUAAUGAGAUGUUGAUCCAGAACAGAGCCCUGUGGCACUACACUUACCACUUUUGUCCAAUUUGAAAAAUUUCCAUCUACAACUACUCUCUGCACUCUUUUUUUUAAGUUGGCAUUCUAUCCCAGAAGACAUUUUUUUUUUUUUUAAACCAACUUUGUUUUACUAGUAACCUUUUGAUAUUUUAAUUAUCUGAUUUAUUCUCCUGUCCUGUAGAGUAAGCUACAGAGUGAUGAUGAAAAGGAUCUGGUUUCAGCUACGCAGUUGAGACCUAGACUGAAACGAUUUGGACUGAGACGAAGACCUGUCCUGAGAUACAAUGAAAACAAAAAGGUAAAUGCCAUGAAAUAGAGGUUGUUGUGUAAAAACAUUUUUCCAAUAUGAAGUUUUUGAAGUUAAUGGAAUAUCCCUUUCUAGAGACUUAAGAUUUAAAAAUGAAGGAGCAUGCUUUGAAAUAAUAUAUAAAAGUUGACUUUGCCUGAUGAGGGAGAAGGUCUAACAUCAUAAGAAGGAACUACUGCUGGAGUGUUUUUAGGAUCACAUAUGUUUGUAGCAAGCCAGGAAGUAGCCUGAAAACUGGAAACUGCAACAUUUGCAUUGUUCACAAAUCUUUAAAUAUACCUAGGGAAUGUCUCAUUGCAUCUUCUGGAUGCAUAUUGUAACAACCAGGGCAUGACCGCCAUGAUGGGAGUUCAGGGUCCCACAUUACCUGUGUGUGUGUAUAUGUGUGUGUAUAUAUCUAUCUGCAGGCCCCCGACUACCUGUUUGUUGCAGAUGGGGCCCGCAGCACCCUUGCUUCCCUUUCCAGCUGUUCCCCUGUCUAAGACUCGCGAGUCCUGCGGCUGUCAGAGCGUUGCCACAGGUUACCAUGGCAAUGCUCCACGUGGCACGCAGGCCGCGAGAGUUGGACAAGGGAGCUUCUGGGAUGGGAAGUGUGUGCUGCGGACCCCAUCUGCAACAAACAGAUAGUUGGGGGUCCGCAUGAGACUCUCACUUCCCUUCCCAGCAGCUCCCCUGUCUAAAUCUCGCAAGUACCGCAGGACUUCAGAGUGUUGCCACGGAUAACCAUGGUAUGCGAUCUCCCCCCUUCCUGGCCAGGUAAGAAGCAGGGAGGGUGGAGUAAAAUAAAAUGUUAUAAAAUAUAUUUUUGUAAAUGUAAAAAAAAAAUGCCCACCCUCCCUUUACACAUAUUACAUGCCUACACACACAUAACUACAUCCACUUUUACUAUAUACACUGCAUCUAAUACACACAGCCUUCACUAUACACGCACUUGGCCUUCUAAUCCACACUGCAUCUAAUACACACAGGCUUCACUAUACGUGCGUACUCUGCCUUCACUAUACCCGCACUGCAUCCCUGUGGCUGGACCGGGGUGCAGCCCUGUGGGUGGACUCGGGGGCAGGCCCUGGGGCCCAGACCUUGAGCUGUGUCAGGGGCCCAAAAAUGUCUUAUGGCAGCCCUGACAACAACCAUAAUGUUGGAGAUUACUGGUGUAAUAGUUUUUAUGUUAAAGGGUGAUUAAAAGAAGUCUGUAUGUGACUGACCACCUGGCACCCUGAUUGGGUGCCUCCUCCAAUCGCUGCUUCCUAGUAGCCUGGAGUACUAUAAUCACCGCACCGAACAUUAUAAGCACCAUAGCCCCUUAGCUGCCGCCUCUUGGCUGGGGUCUCGCUGUCCUCCACCCACCCUGGACCCAAGCCCAGGAUCCAGCUUCCAGUGGACCUCUCCUACUCCAAAGUGUCUAGCAGGUAUAGUUGUGUAGCUCUUACAAGAGCUAGUGAUUAUAGCCAGUAGCUGGUAUAGCUGUUCCCAACAAUCACGAGAUGAGGCUCUGUUGACCACAACUGGCCUUUUGACAGUCCCCAUGCAAGGGGCACUCCCCCUGGACCUGAGAGUAGACCACAGUAGAAUCAAAAACACAAUCACAUUUGCUCUCCGGUCCAGGACACUCCCAUACAAACUAGGUCAAUCCCUCUUCCGUACCUGAGAGAUAAUUGAGUCAAGUUCUGUAUUAACUCCAUUAUCUCCAGACACACAACACACAUUUUUUUACAAAACCCCAAAAACACACGAAACCUCCACAAAUGUUACAUCCUUUGAUAGCCCCGAUCUGGUUGACAAACAUCCAAAAAUCGUAGUAAAGACAAAGAACGUUACCUGCGCUCUGGCCCUAUGUACAUUUAAACAAAAUGGACUCUCUCAAAAAUCACCCAGAUCAGUUCAGGACUUUCCUGGAAGUCAGUUUGACUGACCGCACGCAUGGUUCAUUCCCAAAACUGUUCCACAGAAUCGCGGCUAAGUGCAGCUGGUGGACCAAUCAGGAACUAUGAAGUCUUCAUGCCAAAAAUAGUUCCAGGGCAUUCGCAGCUAAGUCCCCCUGAAGUCUAUUCGCGGUUUUGGUCCAUGCGAACAGCCACCAGGGAGCUAGCAUUCAGUUCUAUCUGCACGAAUGGAAAGUGCUGAACCAAGGGGAAUAGAAUAUGGGUCUUUACAGUCGCUAACCUGGCCAAUAGUCUUUUGGCAAAAGGCUGGCAUGCAGGCCCCUCCAAAAGCAUGUGGCGAUGUUCUGUUCGUCACAAGGUAUAUAUCUUCUCGGGUUAAUGACUCACUGUAAUAUACUUCUGAAUCACCCAAAAGUACGAAUAUGCAAUCUGUAUUAAAAAAAAAAAAAAAAAAUCUCCCAGAUGCUGCCCUUGACAGUUACAUUAUGGUGUACAGCUUAGAAAUCAGGGGAGGGUUGGCAAUGCUAACCUUGGGGACAAGUGCAAACGACUUUGUUAGCACUUAAAACUAAUGAAUUGGUAUGAGUGAUCACACUCACGGAAACUGAUUUAGGUUUCACAAAUAGAGGCAGCUGGAGUCACGAGAGUAGCAACCUCUAUCUGUAUGAGGCAGCAUUAAUAGGAAUCUGUGCCUGGCUAAGUGAUCAACUUUGUUUCCUGUGUCUCCAUAGACACCAAUGUCUAAUCUCAUCCCCAUGUAUUUUGAAAACCCUUCUGCAUCAUACUCAACAUAAUCUGGCCUGGCCUAAAUCCUUCAUUUUCCUUAGAAUUAUUCCAGUGUCCUGUACAGGCCUGGAGUGUAUUGUGAUUGCAGAGCUACCAGCCCAAGCACCAACCCACACAGUGCUAACCUGGCAAAAGCUCUGUACAAUUCCUGCUUCCGGUCUCACAUCUGCACAACCGGCAUCACAAGACGCCUCUGAUUGCUAUUAAUCAGUGAGGAAUGAGGCACAGAAGCCAGGAAUCCAUUUAGGUUAGUGGCCCUAGGAUAAAAUGUACCCCUUUGCCUUUCUGGGGAUAUACUGCUGGAGCUGAUUCAGUAUUUUACAUUUUUUUUCCAGAUUGGUAGGUAUAAGGCAAUAUAUUGCUGGAACAAUCCUGAAAACUGUCCAAAAUAAAAAGCGGUUUAACUGUGUGUUUUUUUUUUUCCUCCAUAGUCCAUAGCUAGAGUGAAACAAACUCGAAAAAGAAUACAAAGAAGAUACUUUCAAAAGAGACGGCUUCUCCCUAAAAUAACAAAG